AACGUAGGAGACAAACGUUAUCCGGAGUUACUGGGCGUAAAGGGCGUGUAGGUGGUUUCGUAAGUCUGGCGUGAAAUUUUUCGGCUUAACCGGGAAAGGUCGUCGGAUACUGCAGAACUAGAGGACGGUAGAGGCGUGUGGAAUUCCGGGUGUAGUGGUGAAAUGCGUAGAGAUCAGGAGGAACACCCGUGGCGAAGGCGGCGCCCUGGUCCGUUACUGACGCUGAGACGCGAAAGCGCGGGGAGCGAACGGG
rnacentral:rRNA from 1 species